rnacentral:rRNA from 1 species
GCUCUACCGAUUGAAUGGCUCAGUGAGGCUUUCGGACUGGCCCAGGGAGGUCGGCAACGACCACCCAGGGCCGGAAAGUUAUCCAAACUCGGUCAUUUAGAGGAAGUAAAAGUCGUAACAAGGUCUCCGUUGGUGAACCAGCGGAGGGAUCAUU